GGAGUCUAAGGAGUUCAAGCAAGUUCUGCGAUUGCAGGAUGCGGUAUUCUAUAGAAGAAUUGAUAGACCUGGUGAUCAAGGCUUUGAUACACCAGCGAUGUUGCCACUGGAGGAGGAAGGG